AACAUGGCCCAAGUCCUGACCCUGGCAAGCCCCUCCCUGUCUCCUAACCACAGCCCACAGGGGCCCGCAUGGCCCGGCCCCUGCCAACCUCUCUAACCUCGCCCUUCCCCUCACCACACAUGCCUCAUCUGUGCUCUUCCGGCAAGCGUGGCCCCUCCUCAGGGCCUUUGCACUUGCUGCUCCCUCCGGCUCGUACCCGCGCAGGUCCCAGCUCCAGGCUCCAGGCAAGCAGCGCGCCCUCUGCUUCCUCACUCCCCCUGACCCAGGACCAGGAACGGGGCAGGAUCAGUUCUAAGUCACAAAUCUUCAUCACCAGGCUCUAACGGGACUGGCUGCUCCCUUACACUGGGGGCGGGCCCAGAGGCCCCAGGAGGAGCCGCUGACCUUGGCCCUCACGCGGCUACAGGUCAGCAAGGACAGAGGGGCUGUUGGCUCCUUCAUACCCACGGAUUCCCAAGGGUGGCCUGCGGUGCGCGGGACACAACAUACGCCAAGAACAAGUUCCACUGCGUGGGGACCCAGACAGCCAGAAGGGCUCCCAUUUGCCUCCCCAAGAAUCCUCAUACCCGUGGCUGAGAAGUGCACCCUGGUUCAGGACCUAGCCUGGCAAACACGCCAGGCAGCUCCACGGUGCCCCGGGGAGACUUUCCAGAACAGGAAAGGGGGAGAAUUCUGGGCACAGCAGUUUAGUGGGGGCUAUAGGGUGCCCUUUACGAGGCCGAUCAUCUCCCCUCAGCCGGGGGCAGCACAGCAGCUCAUGGUGUAUGCAUAGGGCCUUCUCUGGUCAGCCACCCCUGGCCAAGAGCCCUGCCUCACCUGGAGACCCGGGAGGAUGCACAACGCCGCCUUCCUCCAGCAGCAGCCAAACGGCUUUGUGUUGGAGGAUUUUGCCCCACUGCAGGCUCACGGCAGUGUUCGCAGCACAGUUAGGGCAGGCCAGGCUACGACCCUAUGGUGUUCAGUAUGUUUGGUGUAUUAAAGGCACUUUGGACCUCAUGAUACUUUCAACUUAGGAUGGGCUUAUCGGGGCCUAACGCCAUCACAGGUCGAGGAAGAUCUGUGGUGAUAGUGUGGGAGCUCGCAGGGACGCCCCCAUUCCCACCCCAUUCAGGGACUUGCAGCCUCGGUGUUAUUUGCUGGAUGCUGAUUGAAUCCUUUGAUCCUGUUUGAUAAUAAAGUGCUGAGUGUAUCACGUAACUUACUGGAU
rnacentral:lncRNA from 1 species